AGCAGCCUGGGGCACGUGGUCAGGGAGGCCAUGGCAGCUAGCAGCCAACAGUCCCUUGCUGGGCCAGCAGGGCUUGAGUGAUCCCCUCAGCUCCCAGGAGUGCAGGGGACAGGGAGGGGCUUGGGGUGAGCUCAGCCCUGCCUGCUCUGUUAGAGCCCGGAUGAGGGGAUCUUGUGGGAGGAAUUGGCCUGCACCCCACUCCACUCUAGGACCUGCUCUCUGUGGGAGGAAAUCCACUCUGUCUCAUGCACAAACCCAGCCCCUUCCCCCCAACCCCCAUCCCGACCUGGCAGCCUGAUGUGGUGACAAAGGGCCCAGGAGGUCUGGUCCUCACAUCACAUCUUAUAGGAGAUCAAGGGACCCCUCCUGUCCCCAGCACCAUGAGUCCCCACUGCCACUUGCCUUCUGGGGUCAGCCUUGCAUGUGGGACCCCAGUGCCCCUUACUCAAUGCCUGGACUGGGAAGGUUCUGGCCCCGGCAGUGGAGUGAAAAUGUGUCCACACAUCUGUGCCCACCCCCUCGGAAGGUGGUGCCCACUUUCUGUCCCCUCAAGGCAGGGCCAGGUUCAGGGCUGGCUUCUCACGGACAGAGCAAGGGGAUGUGUGACUCCCUGGACCAGGUCACAAGAGGCUGUGGCUCCCUGCUGCCCUGUCUUCUCUGGGGUCACUCACUUUGGUGGGGGCAGACACUCUGCUGUGUGGACACUCAGCAGCCCUGUGGACAGUCCUGGCCUGGGGACACCCUCUGAGGAUGCAACACAGUGGGCAACCUCAGGACAGGCCUUGAGCUGGACCCACCUGGCCAUGCUGCUUCUGACUUCCUGACCCAGAGAAGCUCUGAGUUGGGGCCGAGAUCCUUGAAGCGGAGAGAGCAAGGCUCCGUGGGGAACAGGGGAUCCUCAAACAGCUCCUCCGCCUUCAAGUAGGCCUCCUGCAGCUCCUGGAAGCUCUGGCCCCCAAAGCUGCAGGCGUUGUGGUGCUGGCCCAUCCCCUUGGCCUUGAGCCAGCUCUGGUUUAUGGAAGCCACCAUUCGGGUAACAGAAGGCUCUGCUUGGUAAUAAAAGACAGGUGCCUUACUUACAAAUGGAACUCA